CCCCACGAGGAUAAGAAUGCCACCCGAUUCCCCUCUGCCCAUGGACGAACCCUAGCCCCCCACUUCCCCCUUUCCCUCGAUCUCUCUCUUCUCCUCGCGUGAAACCGAUGCUGCCGUCGCCAUGGCCGCGACCACCGUGCUCCCCGCGCCGCGAGAAGACGCCCAGAAGGACUGCCAUGGUCCACUUCGUCCAUCACGAGGACCGAAUCGAGCGGGGAAGGCCCGUACACUCGCCAUCGCCACCAUCUUCAUCUUGUACAUCGCCGCGGCCUCGACGUCGAUCCGCAUCACCUCGUCCAUCCCGGCCUCGUACGAGCUCACCACCGACCUCCUCUCGACCCCGUGACGAUGCUGAUGCCCCUGUGAUCGACUACGUCACCGACGACCCCUCCUUCUCGCCUGAGCAACCAGGCAAGCCCCCCCUUUGAUCAUCCCGAUGACGGAGUCCAGGAGCCAGAUGACACCUUUGACGACUGCUACUACACCAAGGGCGUCUGCUACCACGUGACGGAGACCGCCGAUGACCAGGUGUAGUUAGGAGGCUCCCAGGCAGGAGGCCUUGCCUUUUCGAUCAUAGAUGCUUUUGUGCUAGCCUUCUUAAGGCAAACUUGUUUAACUUAUGUCUGUACUCAGAUAUUGUUGCUUCCGCUGACUCGUUUGUAUUCAAGCUGAUGUAUUCGAGCCCUCGAGGCCCCUGGCUUGUAAUAUAAAGCUUGUAUUAUUUUAAUUUG